CCUACGGGUGGCAGCAGUGGGGAAUAUUGCACAAUGGGGGAAACCCUGAUGCAGCGACGCCGCGUGCAUGAAGAAGGCCUUCGUUAUGUAAAGCUCUAUCAGCAGGGAAGAAAAUCACGGUACCUGAAUAACAAUCCCCGGCUAACUCCGUGCCAGCAGCCGCGGUAAUACGGAGGGGGCCAGCGUUAUCCGGAAUUACUGGGUGUAAAGGGUGAGGAGGCGGCAUGGUAAGCCAGAUGUGAAAGCCUUGGGCUUAACCCGAGGAUUGCAUUUGGAACUAUCCAGCUUGAGUACAGGAGAGGAAGGCGGAAUUCCUAGUGUAGCGGUGAAAUGCGUAGAUAUUAGGAAGAACACCAGUGGCGAAGGCGGCUUGCUGGAGUGAAACUGACGCUGAGGCACGAAAGCGUGGGGAGCGAACAGGAUUAGAUACCCGAGUAGUC
rnacentral:rRNA from 1 species